CAGCAUCCCAGACCUAAAGAACACAGUUGGUUGUGAGACUGGGUAAUUUACACAUGCCGUUGGACGUAGAAAGAAUAGGGAUGAGAGCAGAGGAAAGGGAUUAGAAGGUGGAGAAAAGACAUUGCUUCUCACUUACUGCAGGACAAGCUGCCUGAUGUUGUUCCUCAGCUGGUUUUUGUUCAAAUGUGGGCUCCAUGUGUGAUUAGAGAGGUGAUUGGAGACAAAGUUGUCCACUCGUUGUUUUAGGUUCAAGUAGGCAGGCUGAAAAAGAUUUGCACCAUUUCCAUUACAAAUAUCCACACUGAUAAACACAAUACUAUGAACGUACACUAAAUGUUAAAAACAAAACCGAUCAAAAAGUAAAGCGCUACAUUGCUUUUAGGUCAGAAUACACACAGACUAUACCUUGAUAUUUUCAAAUGAGCUAAUCAUUUACUACAAAACCAGGACAUCUGCAUGAUUAAGGAUGUUAGAUUCAAGGCUUUUAAUAAAAUACUGUGGACACUGUCUUUUUUUAUGCACAACUCAAGAUAUAUACAGUUUACUGACACAGAGAAUUAAAGAAACCAGACAAUAUAAAAGAUAAGAAGCUGGAAUAAGAGAAUUCAGACUUUUAAAAUAUUUAAUAAUGACUCAAACCGAUUAAAUCGUUUGUUUAAUAGUAAUGGUUCAGCUGUAAAUCACCUAUUGAUAAGUAAUAGUGCAGUUACUAUCAAGAACACAAAGCUCAGUUUAACACCACUUGUCCGUGUUUAUUCGACCAGAGAGUUGAAUUUUAGCGAAGGAAAACUAACUUGUUCACUCAAAAUGGACAUUUUCUAGCCACGCAGUAAAAUAACUAAUUAGUAGUGUAACGCUGUGUUUAUAUUAGGGUGUAGCUUCAGUGGCCAAAAUGAAACCCCGGUGUCAAAACUUCUUCUCCAAAAAUACAAAUAAACUAAAGCAGCUACUUCCCAGAGCUAAAGUCUGCACAUUAAUUUCCCAAAAUGAGUUUAAUCACGCGAUAACUGUGGUUAAAUGUUACAUAUUAGCUGACGAUGCGUUAUAAAGAUGCUUCCAGCCGUUACCUUUGUAUCAACGUCUGCCAGGCAGUCCCUCCUGAACUGGUCGAAGAGACCCUGAGUCUUUAGAUGGUUGACGAUCAUGGAGACCAGCUGAGGGUCUCCCGGUGGUAAACCGGCCAUGUCCCGGUGAGGUCUGACUAGAUUUAGCGAUUAGAAGCGAGAAAACAUCAGGUAACGUCCCACUGGGGCGCCGUAGUCUUCUGUUGUGGUCUGUGAAGUUCGAAGCAGCGCUGACCCGGAAGAAGUGUUCACUCUGGGCCGGAACCGCUUUAAAAGAGGGGGAGUCUCUUAUCAAAAUAAAAGCUUCCAAAUCGAUAUUUAUCAGAAUCACACAACAUACAAGGAAUUUGGUUUCGGCUGUUGGUGUCACCCGAGGAAUAAGGAAAGAGAAUAAUAAUAACUAGAAAAAAGAAGAGAUUUUUUUAAAAGUAAGUAAAUAAAUACAAAUGCAUUUUUAAAAAAUAGCAGUAAUAAAGAAAAAUAAUACAUACAAAUAGUUACACAUCUAAAUAUAUAUAUAUAAACACAGUAUAAUCUAUCUAUCUGGCUAUCUAUCUAGCUAUCUAUCUAUCUAAUGCAAAAUGGUAAUUGCUAGAGUGACAAUACAGUGCAAAAAGCAGAGAAUACUGUUCUUAGUGCAAAAAUAAUGUAGCCUACGUAUACAUUGGUAUAUUGUACAGGUGUGGAGAAAUGGCUCAGCCGUUUAUUAGGGCUAUGGCAGUGGGAAAGAGGCUGUUAUUGUGUCUGGUGGUUUAAGUGUACAUGGCUCUGGAGCGCCUGCCAGAGAGGAGGGGUCAAUCAGUUUCAAUUGUUCAGUAAAACCUUUGUGCACUUUAUUCCACUUGUCUGCACUGUUUUCAACUUAUUUGAUGAAAUUACUUAAAUUUUGUGAUUUUUAUUAUGUUUUAGCUUUUACAUGUUUUUAACCUUUACUUAUAGAACACUUUGAAUAACAGCUGUGUGUAAUAAGGUGCUAUAAAAAUAUAAUGACCUGUUAAAUAAAUUAACAAAAAGGCAGGAGAAUAAGAAAAAAAGGAUAUGAAAUUUUCACAUAUAAAAUGAAUAAUAAGGAACAAUAUUAUGAAAGAAAGGCAACAUAAGUGAGCAUAGUAAAAUAAUAAUAAUAAUAAGAAGACAUUUUCAUGCAGUUCAGAUGGCAUCAGUAAGAACAAAAACAUCAUGCAGAAAACUUAACAAGGUUGAGAUCAAGGCUACAUAAAACAUAACAUCUGCUGGGUAAUCCACAUAGCACUGCCAAACAGAAGAAACAGCAGCUCAUGUGUUGUGCCAAACAUAUGCAUGGACUGCAGGAACUGAAGAUGUUUAAUAUUAAACAAAUCUUGGAUCACAGAAGUGUUACAAAAAUGAAGAAACUGGAUACAAGAAUAUAAUAUAACUUAAUUUUGAUGUAUUUUUUUUGGUUCCUUGUAUUGGUUUUUUUAUAGGAUAAUUGUUAGACCUGAGUCUCCAAGAUUAUAAGCCUGAAUGCUUUAUGAGUGCCUUUCUUGUUUUUUUUUGUUUUUUGUUGUUGUUUUGUUUUUUACAAAAGAGUACUUUUUUAAAUUUUCUAACUUAUUCAUUAAAUUUGUACCUGUGUUUAAAGCCUUGAAAACAAUAUCAUACAGUUGAUCACAAAUGUUGGGAUGUCAUUUUACUGUUUGUAAAAGGGUGUUUGCAACACUGAUAUUAUUGUGUGUUUGGUUUCCUCCCAUAACAUGACAUAUAAAACACUUUCUAAUCAAUAACCACCGACUGUAUAAAUCGGCUUUCAGUCAUUCUGACCAAUCACUGCUCUCCGGCUCCGUCUUCUGGCUCCAAAAAUCCAGGAUGUCAACCAAGAAAUUUUUUUUUUGUACUGUACUUGGUCCGUGUACCUAUCUGGCAAUUGGAUUUUCCGUUCUGAAACGGGUAUUGAAAAACAAAAAACGAGUGGUUAUUUGAUUUUCGUUUUAAAAUAGAAAAAUUAAAAUUGAAAUACAAGGCGUUUUUCCUUUUCAUGAUUAAAAGUGGAUAUACGAAAUUUUAAAAAUGCGCUGAUUUUCAUUUUAUAUUUAGAAUACCAAAAAAGUAAAAUCAGUAAAGCGGCAGAAACGAAAAAGGUCCGUUUUUUUAAUUUUCUGAGACCGGAAGUGGUCAUCAGCAAGUGUGGAGCCAAACAGAGUAUGGUGCAUAGACUGUAUAUAAUUUUUUCGUUAGUUUUCAUGGUCAAAAUGAGAGAUCAGGUGGCUGAUCUUAAAAUAAAUCAAUACUGAUUUUUUUUUUAUAGAGUGUUAAAGUUUUGCGAAGCCAGGGGGCGGGCUUAUUUGAUUGACAGUCCGGUCUGGAAUGAUUGACAGGUCCUAUGGAGGAGGCAGCAGAGACUCUGCUCUCUUCGUUUGGAUUAAUUCUGAUAUAAUAACUGUUGGUUUAUUUAUCGGUGGAGCAGCACAGCAUUUUCCACAGACAGUUUUCCUGCCCGUUGGCUUGUUUUAACCAGUUUUCUACCUUCCGCUGAUUCUACCAGCAGACACUGAAAGGACUUUGAUAGUUCGGUAAGUUAAUGUUUAUUUUCUUAUCGGUGCCACUUUUAGUGCACUUUAUAUGCAGCUUUAGUCUCAGAUAUAAUGUGUGUCAUGCACUCCAGAUGUUGGUGGAGUCUAUUUCUGUGUGUGUUGACCAGAGAAGAAAGUUAGCAUCCGGUAAAUAUUAGUUUUGAUGUUAGCGAUGCUAGCCGAGCUAGCUGCUCAGUCGUAGCUUCAUUAAAGCUAACGUAGCGUUAAGCUAACGAUGAGUGUGUUGUUUCAUGUAAACAGCUGAAGUGUGUUGUGUUACUGUAAUGUGAACCAGCGUCUCCAUGAACAGUUUUAUGAACUAAAUGCACUUCUUUCAGUCAAUGUUGUGUUUCUUUCAAUUUGAAAUAUCUCGAUUUAAUUAAUACAGCUUAGUCAGUUACAUUUUAUAUUAUUAAGAAUUCUUAUCAGUUUAACACUAGAUGACGUAUCAGUUCAUUGAGUAUUUCAGAGCCAGUUUUUUUCUUUUCAAUUAUCUGUAUUUAAAGUGAUAUUAUUAAAAUAUAAUUGCAAUGAAACAGCAGCAACAUAAGAAACGACCAAAUAUACAAAGGAAGUGCAGCUAUUUUAAUAUUAAAAAAAAAGAUCUAUCAGUUAGAAUAUGGUUAAAGUGCAGCUAAAGUUAAGUUAAGUUAGCGAAACUACGGAUAAGCAACGUUUCCUUUUACUUCCAGAAAAAUAAAAGCCUCAUAUUUGCUAUUUAUUAAAAAAAAAUCACUAAAAGCAACACUUCCACCAAGUUUGUUUUAGUUUGUUUGUAUUUAUCGGUGGAGCAGCAGAACAUUUUCCACAGACAGUUUUACUGUCCGUUGUCUUGGUUUAAUCAGUUUUCAGUUCAGUAAUUCAGUCCUUCAGCUGAUAGGACCAACAGACAAUGAAGGACUCUGACAGCUGGUUGGUAAUAAAUGAUAAUUUACUGAUCGGUGCCGGUUUUAAUGAACUUUAUGUUCAACUUCAGAGUCAGAUAUAAUGUGAGCAGUGAACCCCAGGAGUUGGUGGAGUUUAUUUGUGUGUGCUGACCAGAGAAGAGAGUUAGCAUCCAGUGAAUAAUAGCUUUAAUGUGAAUUAGCGAUUCUAACCGAGCUAGCUGAGCAGUCCUGAUUAGCAGUUAAAUGUAGCGUCAAGCUAAUGAUGUUUGUGUUGUUUCCUGUCAACAGCUGAAGUGUGUUGUGUUCCUGUAAUGUGGUUCAUUAAGUUCAUAAAACUGUGGCUGUUGACAUUAAUGUAACAUUCAGGAAACUUAAAUGUGAUUAAAACAGUAACGUUAAUGUUCUAGUUGUCAGUAAUUAGCAUUAAUUUGACACUAAAACAGACUCUGAUAGUUUUAAAUGACAUCAGUUUCAUUAAUUUGUUGAAAAUUGUCUCAUUUGUUGUUGUGAUGUUGCUGCUGAUGGAUUAAAAGCAGAUGAUCCGUGAUGAAGACACGUUUAGUUCUAGUAUCAGAAGUACAAGAAGGAAAAUGGAAGUUUAGUUCUGCUACGUCAAAGAUUUCAGGAAUAAAAUAACUAAAUGAGUCUUUGUGUCUCAAACUUUAUUUUACAAUAAUGAAAUAAUGAAAUAAUCACAGAUAAUAAAAAUAUAAAUAGCAGAGAAAACCUGAGAGAAUAAUUUCCUGAAAAGUCUGUGAAGGAAUAGCAGCUUUUUAUCCUGAAAGAUCAGAAUCAGCUCCAACAUCUGCAUCUGACAGCAUCAAAUCAACCAGAAAGAAAAGAAAAAAGAAAAUGACUUCUUUCUGAUCACAUCUGUUCCGCUGCUCACAGGCUGCCGCCAGGAGCUGGGUCUUUAAAAUAACUGCCGUCUCGUUACAGAGUGAAGGUAGCAGUUCCUCCUUAAGGUCAGAGAUUGCAGCAUCUGAGGACCUCUUCAAAAGAAGACGUAGUUGAUGAAGGCGUUCUGGAGCAGGACCAGAAAGACCACAACCAAGCAGCCUUGAGAUCUUAGGCAGCGUCUCCCUCAGUUCAAAGGUCCCUCUCUAUCUCCCCACACAUCCACCAACCACUGGAACACAUCUCCAAAGUUCUGCCGGGCCAGCUCAGCUUCCCCUCAGAAGAAGUUCUGCCAGAUGAAGGAGCCUUUUGAGAGGCAGCUGGCAUCGUGAUUAGACUGUACUUUGGUCUGUUCCAAUCCAGCUUCAGCUCCAGAGACGGCAGGCGGGACGAGUCAACGGAGGCCUGGUGGACGAAGGCAUGUAGCUGAGUACAAUCCAGAAAACAACAGAGGAGGAGUGCAGUGGCCCAGAGCCAGAACAAACAGAGUAGCAUGGUAUGUCUCUUAGAAAACAUCAUAGUAUAGCCUUUGGUAUGAAAAAACGCCAUCAUAUACAUUGUAGAUUGUACAAAUAACAAGUCAAAGGAAAGAGACAUACAUUGUAGAAUUGUAGUAAUUGUGGGCUGACUGAUUUACUGAUUAUCAGUAUUUUAUUUUUUACUGAUUUACGGUAAUAAAUACAUUUAAAAAUGGCA